rnacentral:snRNA from 1 species
AUAGUUGUACACGAGUGUACCAG